AAUUAGGUUUAAGCAUAAAGUCCAUAUUCAUAAAUACUUGGCAAAAUACCUGUGGUGGCACAAUCGGGUACAACACGGCUUCUUCGGAUAGUUUUUUUACACACCCCUACAUAAAUACGGGAAUGGAUCUCAGGGCUCCGAGAAGACUCGCAAGUAGAACCAAUACUUUGUUCUGAUACUGAUUCGGCUAUCGGAAAAUAUAGACUGUGUUCAUCGGGUAAAACAUAAUAAUACUUCUCCAAGAUACACAAGGCAUAAAAAUACUUCUCCAAGAUACACAUCUAUUGAUUGUUCAACAAGAGUCGCACGCGGAGAGUUCACAUCAUACAUACCUGGCAGAAAAAAAAAAAUACAAAUCGUACGGCUGUAAACUGUGGCGGGCAAAUGAGGUACAACACGGCUUCUUCGGAUAGUUUUUCUACACACCCUACAUAAAUACGGGCAAUCUGAGGGAUCUGAGGGCUCCGAGAAGACUCGCAAGUAGAACCACUACUUUGUUCUGACACUUAUUCGGCAAUCGGAAAAUAUAGACUGUGUUCAUCGGGUACAAGAUCUGAUGUGUGACUGGAUAAAAAUAUCAUAUUUUGUUACUAAUAAUUAUAUUACUCGUGAUUAUAUUUUGAUACUAAAGUA
rnacentral:sRNA from 1 species